AUGAACGCUGGCGGCGUGCCUCAUACAUGCAAGUCGAGCGAACGGACGAGAAGCUUGCUUCUCUGAUGUUAGCGGCGGACGGGUGUGUAACACGUGGAUAACCUACCUAUAAGACUGGGAUAACUUCGGGAAACCGGAGCUAAUACCGGAUAAUAUUUUGAACCGCAUGGUUCAAAAGUGAAAGACGGUCUUGCUGUCACUUAUAGAUGGAUCCGCGCUGCAUUAGCUAGUUGGUAAGGUAACGGCUUACCAAGGCAACGAUGCAUAGCCGACCUGAGAGGGUGAUCGGCCACACUGGAACUGAGACACGGUCCAGACUCCUACGGGAGGCAGCAGUAGGGAAUCUUCCGCAAUGGGCGAAAGCCUGACGGAGCAACGCCGCGUGAGUGAUGAAGGUCUUCGGAUCGUAAAACUCUGUUAUUAGGGAAGAACAUAUGUGUAAGUAACUGUGCACAUCUUGACGGUACCUAAUCAGAAAGCCACGGCUAACUACGUG
rnacentral:rRNA from 1 species